rnacentral:tRNA from 1 species
GAAUCUUUAGCUCAAAUGGUAGAGCAAUUGAGAGUAUGAAUCUCGAGAGAUGAUGGUUCGAAUCCACCAAGAUUCU